rnacentral:lncRNA from 1 species
UUGGAUUUGAUGAAGGCCAUGCCGUGUAUCCGCAUGGAAUCAUUAGAGAAUUAAGAAACAAGAUGAAGGAGAUAAGCCCAAGAAUCAACAAAGAUAUGGACAAACAGAAACUUGACCACAAGCAAAUCAUUUGUACUAACUAUUGGAGAUAUUGCAAGGUUUAGAGGGCUUGGAAAGAAAGGGAGAGGCAGUAUUGAAACUCCAGAGUGACAGAUGAGAUAGAUGACCACGGCUAAUGGAAACAUAGAACAUAAAGAGAUGCAACCUGGAACCACAGAUAAAGCAGAUUAAAUAUAUUCACACAGUAAGCAAGGGGGACUGACUGAGUGAAGAAGGGG